AUUGAACGCUGGCGGCAGGCCUAACACAUGCCAGUCGAACGGUAACAGGAAGCAGCUUGCUGCUUUGCUGACGAGUGGCGGACGGGUGAGUAAUGUCUGGGAAACUGCCCGAUGGAGGGGGAUAACUACUGGAAACGGUAGCUAAUACCGCAUAACGUCGCAAGACCAAAGAGGGGGACCUUAGGGCCUCUUGCCAUCGGAUGUGCCCAGGUGGGAUUAGCUAGUAGGUGGGGUAACGGCUCACCUAGGCGACGAUCCCUAGCUGGUCUGAGAGGAUGACCGGCCACACUGGAACUGAGACACGGUCCAGACUCCUACGGGAGGCAGCAGUGGGGAAUAUUGCACAAUGGGCGCAAGCCUGAUGCAGCCAUGCCGCGUGUAUGAAGAAGGCCUUCGGGUUGUAAAGUACUUUCAGCGGGGAGGAAGGGAGUAAAGUUAAUACCUUUGCUGAUUGACGUUACCCGCAGAAGAAGCACCGGCUAACUACGUG
rnacentral:rRNA from 1 species